GGCAAGGGGACCAUGGUCACCGUGUCCUCAGAGAACCCUGCUGCCCCGAGUCUCUUCCCCCUGGUGUCCUGUGACGGCCUCGUGUCUGAGAACAGCCGGGUGGCCAUGGGCUGCUUGGCCCGCGACUUCAUGCCCAGCUCCAUCACCUUCUCCUGGAGCUUCAAGAACAGCUCCGCGGUGAGCAGCCAGGGCGUGAGGACCUACCCCACGCUGCAGAGCGGGAACAAGUACGUGGCCUCCUCCCAGCUGCUGCUGUCCUCCCAGGACCUGCUGCAGAGCAAGGACGACCAUGUGGUGUGCCGGGCCCAGCACCCCAAGGGCAACCGCAGCGUGAAGGUGGCCUACCCCGAGCAAACAGCACCGCAGAGCCCCAAAGUGGACGUCUACAUCCCGCCCCGCGACGCCUUCUCCAGCAACGGCACCAGCCCGCGCAUGUCCCAGCUGGUCUGCCAGGCCGCGGGCUUCAGCCCCAGGAAGGUGGCCGUGUCCUGGCUGCGGGAGGGGAAGCAGCUGCAGUCCGGCUUCACCACCGGCCCAGUGGAGGCCGAGCACCAGGGCUCGAGGCCCGCCACCUUCAGCGUCACCAGCAAGCUGACCAUCACAGAGAGCGACUGGCUCAACCUGGUCGUGUUCACCUGCCAGGUGGAGCACAACGGGCUGACCUUCCGCAAGAACGUGUCCUCCACGUGCACCACCGAACCAGCCAACAACAUUAGGGCCUUCCCCAUCGGCCCCUCCUUCGCCAGCAUCUUCCUCACCAAGUCUGCCAAGCUGACCUGCCUGGUCACAGACCUGCCCACCUAUGACAGCCUGAGCAUCAGCUGGACCCGCCAGAACGGCGAGAUUCUGACGACCCGCAUCAGCACCCCCACCAGCCACCCCAACGCCACCUUCACGGCCGAGGGCGAGGCCAGCGUGUGCGUGGAGGACUGGGAGUCGGGGGAGGAGUUCACGUGCACCGUGACCCACACGGACCUGCCCUCCCCGCUCAAGAAGGUCGUCUUCAAGACCAAGGAGGUGGCCAAGCACCCGCCCGCCGUGUACGUGCUGCCGCCGGCCCGGGAGCAGCUGGCCCUGCGGGACUCGGCCUCCGUCACCUGCCUGGUGACCGGCUUCUCGCCCGCCGACGUGUUUGUGAGGUGGCAGCACCGCGGGCAGCCCGUGUCUCCCGACAAGUUCGUGACCAGCGCCCCGACGCCCGAGCCCCAGGCCCCCGGCUUCUACUUCGCCCACAGCGUGCUGACCGUGAGCGAGGAGGACUGGAGCGCGGGCGAAGUCUUCACCUGCGUGGUGGCCCACGAGGCGCUGCCGCUCUCGGUCACCGAGAAGGCUGUGGACAAGUCCACCGAGGGGGAGGUGAGCGCCGAGGAGGAGGGCUUCGAGAACCUGUCGGCCAUGGCGUCCACCUUCGUGGUCCUCUUCCUGCUGAGCCUGUUCUACAGCACCACCGUCACGCUGUUCAAGGUGAAGUGACCAGGUGAAGAGCGUUGGCCCAGGGACAGAACCGCAGGGGCCCCAGGCUGCCCGCCCGCCAUCCACACCAGCACCCCGCCCCAGAAUAAACGUGU